AGAGUUUGAUCAUGGCUCAGAACGAACGCUGGCGGCGCGCCUAAUACAUGCAAGUCGAGCGAGAAGACGUAGCAAUACGUUUGUAAAGCGGCGAACGGGUGGGGAAUACAUGGGUAACCUACCCUCGAGUGGGGAAUAACUAGCCGAAAGGUUAGCUAAUACCGCAUACGACUCCUGGUCUGCGGAUCGGGAGAGAAAGCGAUACCGUGGGUAUCGCGCUCUUGGAUGGGCUCAUGUCCUAUCAGCUUGUUGGUGAGGUAACGGCUCACCAAGGCUUCGACGGGUAGCUGGUCUGAGAGGACGAUCAGCCACACUGGCACUGCGACACGGGCCAGACUCCUACGGGAGGCAGCAGUAAGGAAUAUUGCGCAAUGGGCGACAGCCUGACGCAGCGACGCCGCGUGGGGGAUGAAGGUCUUCGGAUUGUAAACCCCUUUCGGCAGGGAAGAUGGAACGGGUAACCGUUCGGACGGUACCUGCAGAAGCAGCCACGGCUAACUUCGUGCCAGCAGCCGCGGUAAUACGAAGGUGGCAAGCGUUGUUCGGAUUUACUGGGCGUACAGGGAGCGUAGGCGGUUGGGUAAGCCCUCCGUGAAAUCUCCGGGCCUAACCCGGAAAGUGCGGAGGGGACUGCUCGGCUAGAGGAUGGGAGAGGAGCGCGGAAUUCCCGGUGUAGCGGUGAAAUGCGUAGAGAUCGGGAGGAAGGCCGGUGGCGAAGGCGGCGCUCUGGAACAUUUCUGACGCUGAGGCUCGAAAGCGUGGGGAGCAAACAGGAUUAGAUACCCUGGUAGUCCACGCCU
rnacentral:rRNA from 1 species